UACGUAGGGUGCAAGCGUUGUCCGGAAUUAUUGGGCGUAAAGAGCUCGUAGGCGGUUUGUCGAGUCUGCUGUGAAAAUCCAGGGCUUAACCCUGGACCUGCAGUGGGUACGGGCAGACUAGAGUGCGGUAGGGGAGAUCGGAAUUCCUGGUGUAGCGGUGAAAUGCGCAGAUAUCAGGAGGAACACCAGUGGCGAAGGCGGCACUCUGGGCUGGCACUGACGCUGAGGAGCGAAAGCGUGGGGAGCGAACAGG
rnacentral:rRNA from 1 species